GUCAUCUCCUGUCAAAAGAGUUUCUCUGUCUCACAUCUGCAAGGGAAAUCUAAAGCACUUGGCUGGUAACAUGAGGUCUGAAAGAAAAGCCAAGGAGAAGAGAGAGCAGGGAAACCAACACUUCUUUGGACAGCGAUAACUGCGUAUCACACCCAGGCUUUGUCCAUAGGGAACAAGGCAACACAAACCCAUUAAAAUCAAUGUUGUGCACUUCCAUCACUGGGCUCCAUUGAAAACAGCUUCUCCAUGUGAAUCAGGAAGUGACAUCUCCAGACAACGGAAGGACUCUUAUCUCUGCGGCUGCAAUGCCCUCGGUGAUGCAGACGCCGUUAGGUCAUUGAAUGUGCAUAUGUACUCCAUCUAUUUCCCUCUUUCCCACCCACCCUUCCGCACAGCCCCAGGUGCCAGUAACCCACGCUAUGCCACUGAUUACUACUGCUAUUGGCAGCUACUCACAGAGGCAGCACAGAUGACAGUGGACAGCCCUUACCUUAAUGCCUUCCCUGAACUCCCAGAAUGAUCAAGCUAGCUACUCUUCAAAAUGCACUCUUGGGCUACAUGAACCUUAGAACAAUCUCAUCCAGCAAGGCAAUUCUCAUGCUGAAGAAGCAAGCACUUCUUUCUCAAAUCAGAUGUAUUUAUUUUUUAAUCACCAAAGCUUAUUGAGCCCUUCGUCAAACAAGAGGGCUUGCUUUUUUUUUUUUGCUAUAAAUAAAAUCCACAUAGGCACACAGCAGCUUUUUUGGUAUCCCUGAUACCAAACAGCUGAACAGCUGAACCUUGGGUAUGCCAAGAGCUAUCACUUCUAUGUGAUGCAAACAUUCCUUAAAUUUUCCUCCAUACACUAGAUGUGAGAUCUGUAUCCCAUAUAUAUAUAUG